GACCGAAUGAGGAGUCGAGGAGGACAUCAAGACUGUGGGCUUCCGGGACACGGAGGAUGGUCGUGAGGAAAUAGAAACGAAUUAACAUCUGAGCCCCCUACCUUAGCCUCUUGUCCAUUAUCAGUCCAAAUGAAACCAUUAUUCCAGCACCUCAGAUCACGAUAGAAGAACGCUCUGGCUUGCCAUUACUCUCCCCCUGUAACCUCUCCACUGUCUUUGGGCACUACGCUCCAGCUGGCACUCUAGUUCCGACCAUGCUCGCCUUGUAAAUGUACUUCCCGUUGACUCUCCUCCUCCAAUUUCUCGGCCCCAUCCUUCCUCCGGUCCGGAGGGCCUACUCCCUCCCCUGCCCCCUUCAACCUGCCAGUCCCCAGUUCUCCCAUUUUCCGAGUGGUGGUGACCUUCCCUGUCGUCUAAUCCCACACAUUCCUGGUCUUGCCACCUAAGGUGGCUUAGCGCUCCUAAGUGUGUCUGUCUGCUUAUUGGCUUUUCCGUUUGUCUCAGUGCUACUACCUGCACCACGGCGCACUUGACGACGCUCUCCGCCUCUGAUGUUUCCAGAGAGGCUGGCAGAGUGGACCUCAGCUGCCCGAAUGGACUCGCUCUCUCUGCCCGAGACUUCCAGGCGCUCGCCCCUGGGACCCGCUGCAGCCCAGAACGGAUUCUGUGUCACCCAGGGAGUGCUUCGGGGGUGGGGGGUGGCCUGCUGAGGAGGGGUGCACCUGGGACAUUUGGGUGGCCAAUCUUCAAAGGUUCCACCUCAAGGUAUGAGAGAGGCUCCCCCUUCGCAAAGGGCUGAGGAAAGGCUUUACUGCAGGGAUUUCAGCAGGCCUUUCUCAGUCACUGUAUUUCUGCUUGUAGUUGUGCUUGGAUUGUACCUGGGAGGGCUCACAAGACCAAAGGACUGUACUCCUGAAAAGUAGAUGUUCCCCAAGGAGACUGUCUACCAACCCUGCGGUACUGUCCUCUUCCAAGCGGUUAGUAAGCGCUCCGCACUCAGUAAGCACUCGGUAAAUAUCACCGACGGACGGUGGCGUCUCGGUCGGCUUCCCCAGCGCCCUCCCCACCGCCCCCGCCUGUCAGCACAUCACCCGCUCCAAGGGGAACCGGUUCUUUCAUAGCAAAUGACCACACAUACCUCCAUGACGAGCUGGUGAGCCCGGGAAACCAGGGUCAGCCCGUUGGCGUGAUUAAAGGUUUCCGAGAUAUCUUGUCCAAAGGUGUAACCGGCCCCGCGAGGGGAGAUUCCCCACCCGCCGCGAUCGUCUGGAUCAGACCACAGCAGGUCACACAUGGGGCCCUGGCAAAUGGAGGAAAACGGAGGAAAACCUCAUCGGGAACCCGGCUGAUGAACGGCGGUGGCAUUCCGCUCCAGGAUAAGGGGCCCGGCUGGUUCUGCGGAUGCUAGGGAGGAGGAGUCACCACAGUGAGGAGGGUGUGCUUCGGGAGCUGACUUGGAAGAACUUCUUCAGUACGAGAGCAGGUGCCGAAACCUUGAUUCCAAACCCAGGACGGCCUAUGCAGCAGUCCCUGGCAUGGGUUCACCAGGGACACGCAAUGAAGCUGACGAUCCGAGGUCCCAGAGGAGACCGGACCAGACAGAGCCAGGGAUCUGAGAGGAGAAGGCACCCGCUGCCUGGCAACCUGGGCCGCAGCCUCCUGCUGACUGUAUCGAGAAGGUCCAGGGGAAUCUAAGGGAAGCACUGUGACCUAGUGGAUAGAGCGCGGGCCUGGGAAUCAGAAGGAACUGGGU